rnacentral:rRNA from 1 species
GUAUAGAAUCUACCUCUUACUAAGGGAUAGCCCAGAGAAAUUUGGAUUAAUAUCUUAUAGUAUGUUAACUUGGCAUCAAGAUGACAUUAAAGGUUACGGUAAGAGAUGACUAUGCGUCCUAUUAGCUAGAUGGUGUGGUAACGGCACACCAUGGCAACGAUAGGUAGGGGCCCUGAGAGGGGGAUCCCCCACACUGGUACUGAGACACGGACCAGACUCCUACGGGAGGCAGCAGUGAGGAAUAUUGGACAAUGGAGGCAACUCUGAUCCAGCCAUGCCGCGUGCAGGAAGACUGCCCUAUGGGUUGUAAACUGCUUUUAUACAGGAAGAAACACUCUCACGUGUGAGAGCUUGACGGUACUGUAAGAAUAAGGAUCGGCUAACUCCGUGCCAGCAGCCGCGGUAAUACGGAGGAUCCAAGCGUUAUCCGGAAUCAUUGGGUUUAAAGGGUCCGUAGGUGGAUAAUUAAGUCAGAGGUGAAAUCCUGCAGCUCAACUGUAGAAUUGCCUUUGAUACUGGUUGUCUUGAGUUAUUAUGAAGUAGUUAGAAUAUGUAGUGUAGCGGUGAAAUGCAUAGAUAUUACAUAGAAUACCAAUUGCGAAGGCAGAUUACUAAUAAUAUACUGACACUGAUGGACGAAAGCGUGGGGAGCGAACAGGAUUAGAUACCCUGGUAGUCCACGCCGUAAACGAUGGUCACUAGCUGUUCGAACUUCGGUUUGAGUGGCUAAGCGAAAGUGAUAAGUGACCCACCUGGGGAGUACGUUCGCAAGAAUGAAACUCAAAGGAAUUGACGGGGGCCCGCACAAGCGGUGGAGCAUGUG